AUGGCCUUCUUCAAGAGCUUCGGCCAGAACCUACCAUCUGUCAACAUCUCCUCCAUCUUGGAUUCGGUCAGCAGUAAAGUGGAUGACCUAGCUACAGCCGUCAGUGACGCCACCUACAGUGUCAGUGACCAGUUGACUGAGCUCAGUGACCAGGUCAUCAAGAAAGUGCAGACCGAGGAGGAGGAGUUGGCGGAAGCGUCGGAGAAGGGCCAGGACAGCAAGGUGGGGAGGUCCCAGGAAGGGAUCGCUGACUCAUUCCGGAGCAAAAUCCAGCGGCAGGCUUCUGAGGCCUGCUCGAGCUUGACAGAGUACAGCUCCAAGCUCAACCACUCCAGUGACCACGGCACGAAGAACAGCCAGUCAGGUGACGUGACCACAGAGGAGUAUGUUCCGUCUCAGUUGGAAUGGGUGUGGAAGGACGGAGGCUGGCGAGUCGUAAAACCGGACGAGAGUUCCGCUGAGGACAAGGAGCAAGAGGAAAAAAGGAAGGAGGAGGAGAGGAAAAAGAAGGAGGAGAAGGAGAGGAGGAAGGCAGAAAAGGAAAAGAGGAGAAACGAGGAGAGGUUGAAGCGGGAGGAGGAACUGAAAAAUAGCCACGGAGAGACCAUCGAAGAAGAGAGUGACAACAAGGGACAGAAAGAGGACAACGGUAAUGGGCUUCACCAGAAUGACAAGCACAGUGAUCCCCAGCCAUCACCCAGCCCUCAGGGAGAGUCCAGACCAGCCAAUAAGACAGGGAAGGAGAAUGCAGAAGAGGAGGAGGAGCUGAGCCCUGAGGGAGAGUCCAGACCGUCCAAUAAGACAGGGAUGGAGAAUGCAGAAGAAGCGGAGAACGAGCUGAGCCCUGAGGGAGAGGAAGAGCAGAACGAGACUGAACCUGUUGUUGCUCCCACUUCUGAGCCAAAGAAGAAAAAGGAUGACAAGAAGAAAGAGAGUAAGAAAGAGAAGAAGGAAAAAGUGAAAACUGUGAAACAAAAGGAGAAAGAGAAAAAGAAGGAGAAAGUGAAGGAGAAAGUGGAGAAAGGUGAGAGGGUGUGUUGCUUCCCUCCGACCAUCUCUCUGGAUAUCUCUCCACUCUUUCUGACCACAGUCCCCUCCCCCACACUCCUCCUCUUCAUGGCUGUGGCCAGUGUCUUAACUGAAACCUGUUACCAUUGGUUCAGGGUUCUAAAUCUGAAAUCAAUUUUUUUUUUACCAAUCAUGGAUGGAUUAUGUCUGUCUGUGGCUGUCCUGUUUCCACUUUCAAUUCAGUCCCCUCACCGCUUUACCUAUUUCUUAACUGAUUUAUUUUCCUAUUUCUUUACCAAUUUCUCUCAAAUAUUUGUUAUAGAUUUGACAUCAUGGAUACAGCUGAAUAUUUUAGCAGUUAGAAAUGUGAUCACUUGUUUCUUUGAUGUUUGGCUGAGAUCAAGUGUAGUAUCAGGUCUUCACAAGUCACAACCAUUUAUGUUGGCCAGGGAAUGUCACCCUGCAUUCUGUUGCUGGCUGGCCUCUUAA
rnacentral:lncRNA from 1 species